rnacentral:rRNA from 1 species
GUGGGGAAUUUUGGACAAUGGGCGCAAGCCUGAUCCAGCAAUGCCGCGUGUGUGAAGAAGGCCUUCGGGUUGUAAAGCACUUUUGUCCGGAAAGAAAUGGCCUGGGUUAAUACCCCGGGUCGAUGACGGUACCGGAAGAAUAAGCACCGGCUAACUACGUGCCAGCAGCCGCGGUAAUACGUAGGGUGCGAGCGUUAAUCGGAAUUACUGGGCGGAAAGCGUGCGCAGGCGGCGAUGCAAGACAGAUGUGAAAUACCCGGGCUCAACCUGGGAACUGCAUUUGUGACUGCAUGGCUAGAGUGCGUCAGAGGGGGGUGGAAUUCCGCGUGUAGCAGUGAAAUGCGUAGAGAUGCGGAGGAACACCGAUGGCGAAGGCAGCCCCCUGGGAUGACACUGACGCUCAUGCACGAAAGCGUGGGGAGCAAACAGGAUUAGAUACCCGUGUAGUCC